rnacentral:tRNA from 2 species
AUCCCUUUAGUUAAAUGGACAUAACGAAUCCUUCUUAAGGGCUAGUUGUAGGUUCGAUUCCUACAGGGGACGCCA